rnacentral:rRNA from 1 species
CCUUGUACACACCGCCCGUCACACCAUGGGAGUUGGUCUUACCUUAAGACGGUGUGCUAACCGCAAGGAGGCAGCCGGCCACGGUAAGGUCAGCGACUGGGGUG